rnacentral:rRNA from 1 species
GACGUAGGGCGCGAGCGUUGUCCGGAUUUAUUGGGCGUAAAGGGCGCGUAGGCGGCUUGGCAAGUGGAAGGUGAAAUCCCUCGGCUUAACCGAGGAACUGCCCUCCAAACUGCUUGGCUUGAGACCGGGAGAGGUGAGUGGAAUUCCCAGUGUAGCGGUGAAAUGCGUAGAUAUUGGGAGGAACACCAGUGGCGAAGGCGGCUCACUGGACCGGUACUGACGCUGAUGCGCGAAAGCGUGGGGAGCAAACGGG